rfam:Candidatus Roizmanbacteria bacterium RIFCSPLOWO2_01_FTLL_42_14 rifcsplowo2_01_scaffold_6129, whole genome shotgun sequence.
UUUUUUAAGAGUUUGAUCCUGGCUCAGGAUGAACGCUAGCGGCGUGUUUAAGAUAUGCAAGUCGAGCGUCUCUUACAUAAAGCUUGCUUUGUGUAAGGGUAGCGGCGGACGGCUGAGUAACACGUAGGAACCUACCCUAUGGUGGGGUAUAGCCUCGGGAAACCGAGGGUAAUCCCCCAUAUCCAGCUCCUUUUUUGUUUUAUAGGUUUUUCCAGGCUGCCCUGACAGGCAGUUGCGGAAUUAUCUCUAUAGACCAAAAAUGGAGUUGGAAAGGGCUUAACUGCUCGCCAAAGGAGGGGCCUGCGGCCUAUCAGGUAGUUGGUGGGGUAAAAGCCUACCAAGCCUAUGACGGGUAGCUGACCUUAUGAGGGUGAUCAGCCAGAGGAGGACUGAGACACGGCCUCCACACCUACGGGUGGCAGCAAUCAAGAAUCGUUGGCAAUGGGCGAAAGCCUGACCACGCGACGCCGCGUGUAGGAAGACGCCUUUCGGGGUGUAAACUACUGUGGUAGGGGAAAAAAUCCAGCGCCGUAUAUUUGAAAACUUUUUCGAGUAUAGAGCGCUGGACUGAUGGUACCCUACUAGAAAGUGGCCGCUAACUUCGUGCCAGAAGCGUCGGUGAUACGAGGGCCACAAGCGUUAUCCGGUGUGACUGGGCGUAAAGGGUUCGUAGGCGGUCUUUCAAGUUACUUUUCAAAGACCUCGACUCACUCGAGGGAAGGGAAGUAAUACUGUUGGACUAGAGUUUUCUUUAGGGUAAUCGGAAUUGAUGGAGGAGUAGUGAAAUGCGUUGAUACCAUCAAGAACACCAAUGGCGAAGGCAGAUUACUGGAAGCUAACUGACGCUGAGGAACGAAAGCUAGGGGAGCAAACCGGAUUAGAGACCCGGGUAGUCCUAGCUGUAAACGAUGCUCGCUAGUUGCAUGUGCUGUUUAUUUUAGCAGCACGUGUGGCGAAGCUAACGCGUUAAGCGAGCCGCCUGGGGAGUACGGCCGCAAGGCUGAAACUCAAAGGAAUUGGCGGGGAGACACACAACUAGUGGAUCAUGUGGUUUAAUUCGAGACAAACCGAAGCACCUCACCAAGGUUUGACAUCCAGCUGCAGGCUGGUGGAAACACCGGCGGCUUUCGAAGGUGCUGGACAGCUGCUGCAUGGCUGUCGUCAGUUCGUUCCGUGAGGAGUGCCCUUAAGUGGGACAACGAACGUAACCCUUGCCCCAUGUUAGAUAUGUCAUGGGGAACUGCCCAGCCGAUGGUUGGGAGGAAGGAGAGGCAGACGUCAAGUCAGCAUGGCGCUUAUACCUUGGGCGACACACAUGAUACAAUGAGAUGGACAAAGGGUUGCCAAGCGGUAACGUGGAGCUAAUCCCAUAAACCAUCUCUCAGUAGGGAUAGAGGUCUGCAACUCGACCUCUUGAACGCGGAAUUAGUAGUAAUCGCGGAUCAGCCAAGCCGCGGUGAAUACGUUCUUGUCUCUUGCACACACUGCCCGUCAAGCCAACAAAGUUGGGAGUGCCCGAAGGCUUACAGUUGUAGGACGAGGGUAAGCUCAGCGAUGGGGACUAAGUCGUAAAAAAGUUGCGACCUAUGCGAGAGAUUGCAUAGUAAAAUACAAC